CCUACGGGAGGCAGCAGUGGGGAAUAUUGCACAAUGGGGGAAACCCUGAUGCAGCGACGCCGCGUGAGUGAAGAAGUAUUUCGGUAUGUAAAGCUCUAUCAGCAGGGAAGAAAAUGACGGUACCUGAUUAAGAAGCCCCGGCUAACUACGUGCCAGCAGACGCGGGAAUACGUAGGGGGCAAGCGUUAUCCGGAUUUACUGGGUGUAAAGGGAGCUUAGACGGCAGCACAAGUCUGGAGUGAAAUGCCGGGGCUUAACCCCGGAACUGCUUUGGAAACUGUGCAGCUAGUGUGCAGGAGAGGUAAGUGGAAUUACUAGUGUAGCGGUUAAAUGCGUAGUUAUUAGGAGGAACACCAGUGGCGAAGGCGGCUUACUGGACUGUAACUGACGUUGAGGCUCGAAAGCGUGGGGAGCAAACAGGAUUAGAUACCCUGGUAGUC
rnacentral:rRNA from 1 species